rnacentral:rRNA from 1 species
GCAAGUCGAGCGGUAGAGAGGUGCUUGCACCUCUUGAGAGCGGCGGACGGGUGAGUAAAGCCUAGGAAUCUGCCUGGUAGUGGGGGAUAACGCUCGGAAACGGACGCUAAUACCGCAUACGUCCUACGGGAGAAAGCAGGGGACCUUCGGGCCUUGCGCUAUCAGAUGAGCCUAGGUCGGAUUAGCUAGUUGGUGAGGUAAUGGCUCACCAAGGCGACGAUCCGUAACUGGUCUGAGAGGAUGAUCAGUCACACUGGAACUGAGACACGGUCCAGACUCCUACGGGAGGCAGCAGUGGGGAAUAUUGGACAAUGGGCGAAAGCCUGAUCCAGCCAUGCCGCGUGUGUGAAGAAGGUCUUCGGAUUGUAAAGCACUUUAAGUUGGGAGGAAGGGCAUUAACCUAAUACGUUAGUGUUUUGACGUUACCGACAGAAUAAGCACCGGCUAACUCUGUGCCAGCAGCCGCGGUAAUACAGAGGGUGCAAGCGUUAAUCGGAAUUACUGGGCGUAAAGCGCGCGUAGGUGGUUCGUUAAGUUGGAUGUGAAAUCCCCGGGCUCAACCUGGGAACUGCAUUCAAAACUGUCGAGCUAGAGUAUGGUAGAGGGUGGUGGAAUUUCCUGUGUAGCGGUGAAAUGCGUAGAUAUAGGAAGGAACACCAGUGGCGAAGGCGACCACCUGGACUGAUACUGACACUGAGGUGCGAAAGCG